rnacentral:rRNA from 1 species
GAUGAACGCUAGCUACAGGCUUAACACAUGCAAGUCGAGGGGAAACGACAGAGGAAGCUUGCUUCCUUUGGGCGUCGACCGGCGCACGGGUGAGUAACGCGUAUCCAACCUUCCCGCAAGUAAGGGAUAACCCGUAGAAAUGCGGCCUAAUACCUUAUGUUUUCCUUAGGGGGCAUCUGAUGAGGAACAAAGAUCCGUCGCUUGCGGAUGGGGAUGCGUCUGAUUAGUUAGUCGGCGGGGUAACGGCCCACCGAGACGACGAUCAGUAGGGGUUCUGAGAGGAAAGUCCCCCCACAUUGGAACUGAGACACGGUCCAAACUCCUACGGGAGGCAGCAGUGAGGAAUAUUGGUCAAUGGACGGAAGUCUGAACCAGCCAAGUAGCGUGCAGGAUGACGGCCCUAUGGGUUGUAAACUGCUUUUAUAUGGGGAUAAAGUGGGCCACGUGUGGCUUAUUGCAGGUACCAUAUGAAUAAGGACCGGCUAAUUCCGUG